ensembl:lncRNA
GUCAAAGACUUCUCUUGUCUGAAGACACUGACAGGAACUGAGCUGCUGGAGAUGUCAUAUCAGAGUUCACCUGCUGAGGUUGAGAUGACAUGUUUUUACACUGUAAAGCUUGGAGAGUCACAUUACCUAUCUCCACACAGUGACACAUCCUCCGUCACCAUACACAGUGACACAUCCUCCGUCACCAUACACAGUGACACAUCCUCUGUCACCAUACACAGUGAUACAUCCUCCGUCACCAUACACAGUGACACAUCCUCCGUCACCAUACACAGUGACACAUCCUCCGUCACCAUACACAGUGACACAUCCUCCGUCACCAUACACACUCUAAAACCUGAGGUGAGUCUUCAGCAUUUUCCUGGUGAAUACGUUUUCAUGACCUGCACUCUGCCUGGAUCUGCUCAUGAAGAUACGAGAUGUAACCUUUACUUUGGAGAAGAAAGGGAUCCAUUUCAAACAACAACCAUCUUGAAGCAAAGGACCUCAAAGAAUCAGAGGUUCUGCCAGUUUACUGUCACAAUUUCUGAUUUGCUUACCCGUCUCCAUUUUCCUCAAAGAAGCGUCACCAGCUGUGAUUACAGUUUGGGAAGUGAACCAAACUCUUUGUCUCCUCGUAGUGAUGGAUACCGCUUGACUGAUAUUGUGGAAAGAGAAUCAAGCGCUCCCUUCACAAAACCAGUAUUUCCUAUGACCACAGAUUUGAUUGUUGGCAGACCCGGUGCUUCUGCAACUCCUGUGAAACUGGAAUCAGAUAUUGUGGACAAAGAGACACACUCCACACAGACUAUGGCGACAUCUACUAUGACCACAGGUAGGACUGUUAGCAGGCUCCAUGCCUCCACACCUAUAACUCGGACCAAACGAACGUUAGGUCAGAAUGUUGGAUCCAGCAACACUGGUAGUUUCAUCUCUACUUCUAUCACACCAGUGAAACCAACAUCAGUUGGUCAGACACCUCAUAAAUCUAGCACUAAAGCUAGCUUGCUCCAUGUAACCCCAAUUGAUCCACCAACAGCAGAAACAUGGACAUGGAACUUGGUAGUAGUUGCAGCGUGUCUUGGAGGUGUCAUCUUACUGGGCCUAGCACUUCUCUUUACCAAAAGAAGAACUGAAAGAUGUUCUAGCAAAAGGACACAAGCUGAUGCCACUGAUGACUUAAUGUGCAUGAGAGAGCUUAACCAUGGAGGAUCAGUAAUUAAAAAAUGUUUUCUCUGUCAGAUGUAG